UGGCUUCACUAUUUUCAGCCUCUCUCUCUCUUUUCACCACCUCCGCUGUCUCUGGAAACUCGUUGUCACAGGCACACGCAUAUCACCACUACAACCGCGUCUCCCAUUGCCCCAGCCCCACCCCUUUCUUCUCGCCCUCCUCUGCUAUCCAGCAAACACCAGAGACAGGAAAGGUGCCUGUUCGCCCCCCCCUUCCCACAGCCACGCAAGAAGGCCCCUCCCCUACAAAAAAAAAUAAUAAGGCGAGGCAUCAACGGAAGAGAGCGAGGCGCACAUAUAUUUGUGCUUAUGUGUGUGUCCUUCUCCCCUCUCCCCUUCAUAUCAUCUUCCUUUCGCAGUGGCGGUGUUUUGUUUUCCUUGUAUGUCUUUUUUUUACAAUAUAUUACAUCCUUUGUGUUGGUUACAUCCAUUGUAUUCUCAGUGCCUUCGCCGCCCACCGCCGCCGCCGCUGCUGCCCUACUCCCUCCCAUUCAUUUUCCGCCUCCCUCUGGGCACUUUGUGUUUCUCCUCUUUUGUUUGUGCUCGCUGUGUGCCCUCUAUCGCUCUUCCACUGGACCCGUUGUGUGCGCGUGUGCUUCUUUCUGCUUUCUCGCUUAGCCCUUCUUCGCUUUCUUUUGUGCUCCCUUCUCCCUCUUCCCCUCUCGCCCUCUCCCUCUCCCUCUCCCUCCCCCCGUGACUUGCACCAUUCUUUUUUGCUGCUGCUGUUGCUGUUUCUUUGUUUUUGGUCUCCUUCCCUUUCCUCUUGAAUUCGCUUCUCUCUUCCAAGUCCCUGUCACUCUGUGUGUGCGUGUGCUACGUUCUUGUACCCGUUUUUCGAACCCUCGUGCCUUGCCUUUUUGUGUAUCCUUUUAGGUGCCGACUUCACUCUCUACCGCCCAUCCCCUUCUUCCUGUUCCGCUUCUUUCUCCCAGGCAGACCCUGUGUGUAUCAAAAAUGAGGAUGCCGUCAGUCUUUACUGCGCCAUCGACGUACAUGGCCGACCUCGAAGUCGGCGCGGCGACUGCAUACCACGCGCACUCCGAAGCCGCCACGGCAGGUGAGAGCGAUACGUGCAAGCCGGCUGCCACCACCGCAUCAACACGGCCGCCUUUGGCGCCGCACGCUGCGGACGCGGAUGCACACAAUGCAGUGGAGCUGUCGAUCAGCAGCACUGCUGUAGCGCCGGCUUAUCAGCUACGCGGCGAGCUCGGCCGUGGCCAGUACGGCUGCGUCUACUUGGUGGAAGAGUGUGUGCGGCACCAUCUGCUCGCUGUGAAAGCUACGUACGACCCGAUUCAAGUCGCUGCGGUGCGUGAACGGCAGAGGCGCCAGGAGCGGCAACAGCAGAAGCCGUCCAAGGGCUCCGGUGGCUGUGCUCGAGAGGCAGCGUUCUCGCCGUACGCGCAACACGAAGAGGGCCACGCUGUGGUACCGUUUCCACCCCUACUGCCGCACUUCAGCAACGAGGUUAUGUGUCUGCGGGAGUGCCACUCGCCCUUCAUUGUCCGCCUUGAGGGGGCCGAUAAAGGUGAGAACGGCGAGGAUCUGCUGCUCAUGGAAUACGUCGACUGCGGAGAUCUUCGCCGAGAGAUUCGGCGACGGUGCGCCGCGGGCACGCCCUUUACCGAGACAGAAGCCGUCUUUGUGUUCCUGCAGCUCUGUAUGGCUGUCGAUCACUUGCAUCAGCUGAACAUCUUGCAUCACGACUUGAAGCCAGAGAACGUCAUGCUUAGUAGCACCGGCAUCAUCAAGCUCGGGGACUUUGGUUUUGCAAAGAAGUACAGGGAGCCGGUAUCCCAGCGUGUCGCAUCGACGGGGUGUGGCACUCCGUACUACCUCAGCCCUGAGGCACUCCGUGGCGACCGGUACUCUCUCAAGAGCGAGAUGUGGGCACUCGGUGUCAUCCUCUACGAACUCCUGGCACUCACCGGCCCCUUUGCUGCUGCGACGCGCGCGGAGCUGCGAGCCAAAGUUCACAACUCCGACUACGCCAAGCUGCCGGCAACCUACUCAAAUGAGCUGCGGUCGGUGUGCUAUCAACUACUGACCCUCGACCCCGACCAGCGCCCCUCGACGCGCGACCUGUUCCAGGACAACGAAUACCUGCGCGAAAAGCUCAACGCGCUACGCCGCAUCUCCGAGUGCUCCGUGAAUAUGAGCACGGAGGAGAAAGGCUCCAUGUUUCAUUCGAUUAGUGCUGCACUGCGCCGCAAGCCGCCAAGCGCGAAAGGGCCCGCCACCGCCUCGUUUAACCUUGGAUGGGGUGGCAGCUGCAAAAUUAGCUCUCAUGGUCAUGGCAGCGCGCGACCUGAAGCAGCACCGAAGCCUCGAGUGGAGAGACCGGCAGAGAUGACGCCAGUUGCGCGGACCCGCAGUGUAUGCUAACGAAAAAAAAGGUGAGAACAACGCGCACGGUCUUUGCAGGACGCGAUGGACUCCUCCUAAGCCUUCCUCCCCCCCCCCUCUACGUGCCCGAACUUGUAGUGCGCGUGUGCCUCCACGUGUGCCUCUUCCCUUUAGCUGACUUGCAUCGUCCCGUGGGCGCGCGCCCCUCUCUCUCACUCGCGCGCUCCGUCCAACCAUACUUUAUUUUGUGAUGGUCGUCGUUUGUUUUUCUUGCUUGCUUUGUUUUUUGUAGGACUCUUUCACCUGGGGCUCCUUUCUAUUCCUAAGGCAGGGUGCGCUCAUCCGAUCUUUGCUCUCCGCCAUCGCGUGCCCAGGACAUAUUUCGCUCUAUCCCCCUUCCAUGUCGUCUGCUAUAGUGGAUUGCGUCACUUGGAUGCACUACUUGUCUCUUUCCCUCUUGCUUUCUUCCCUCCACCCGCGCCCCUCUUAUCCCCUUUACCUUGUUGCCCUUGCCGCCUCAGCUGCCAUUAAUUCUGCUACUUCCUUGUUAUAUGUCUACUACACGUGGUCUCUUGGCGACUAGCACCAUCAGCCAGCGUCUCCCCCUCCCUCCCUCACUCAGCCCUCUCCGCUUUUCCUUAUCUCCCCAGCUGGGGGUCUGAGUGAUGCACGGUGGUACACACAUGCAGAGAGAGAUGGAGGAACCCUGGAACCUUCCUCCUUCUUCUUCCCUCCCAACCCGAGCCACCUGCCACAUAUUCUGGCUCUUCUUUGUGGUUCUUUUACGCCCGUGCCCGUGUACACGUAUAUUUGUUGAUUUGCUCGUGGUAGAGUGGAACACCGAAGAGGAUAUAGAUAUCUGUAUAUGUGUAUGUGAGUAUAUGUAUAUAUAUGUGUAUUUGCGCUAGUGUACGCUCGUUUUAUUUUUCUGUGCUUCUGCUUCGAUAUCGAGAGCUGCUUUGAUCGAUAUCUCUCAACACCUAAAAAUAUAUAUGUACAUGUGUGCAUAUGCGUGUAUGUGUGCUCUGAGGUGCACCUCCAGGCCAGUGUUUUGUUUGUGUUUGUCUCAGCUCUCUCCUGAUUUAUUUUGUUUUUUGGGGGAGAGGAAGGUGGCUUCUAUCUCUCCCUUUCAUUUUUUUUUUGCGUCCUUGUUGCCUUGGAAGGAUGGUGGGUGGCACCCACAACAGAACAAAACGGGAAAGGAGCGUUGACUUGGUGCACCUUGUGACUGUUCUUCGUCCUGUCUGAUUCCGGAAUCCGCACGCAAACGCAGUCUCUGUCUCUGUCGCUUUCCCUAUUGAAAGCCCUACCAUGAUCCCAAGCACCAACACGUGUAUGUUUGCCUCCCUUCCACACACGCACACACGCUUCUUUCAUAUUCCCCCACCCCUCUCCUUCCCCCUUUUCGUAUGUGUGCUCGUUUUUUUUUGAGGGGGUUGUCGUUUCACGUGCAACAAUGAGCGCCACUUUUGUGUGCUAUCUAUCACCCUUUUUUUUUGCGGUUGCAUUUCUCUUCACAUAUCCCUGCGCGCCUUCACGUUAUAUGUGUGUGCAUGCGUUACGCUCCCCUUACUGUUUUUAAUCACACUUGUGUAACGCGUUCAUGUGUGGUAAUGCUUUAUAUCGCUGCAUGGAUUUUUUGUGCGCUCUGUUGUUGUCCGUUAGCUUCCUCUACUUUACCUCCCUCUCCCUCUCUUUCCCUCCUCCUUCUUUCCUUUCUCCCUAUUCUACCUCUUCCUGGCAUCCCCCACGUUGUUUCUAUGUUGUGUAUUUUCACGGCUUCUGCGUGCCAUCUUUCUCGCUUUCCUUCCUCUGUUCUUUUUUAUUAUUAUUCUACCUCCAGCCUUUGUGCUGUUUUAAAGGUGAGCAUGUGUGUGAUCGUGUAUCGUGCCUGCUUUUCUUCCUCCUCACCCACUCCCCUAUCUGUACUGCUAUCCCCCCUCCCUCCCUGAUUUUCUUGUUGUGGCUCUCUUCUGUAAACUUUUGUGUUGGGUGCGUGACCCUCAUCUCCGUCUAAUUGUUUUUUUUUUUAGCUGCACGCGUGUUGCCUUACUCUUGCCAUGUUUGUCUUGUGUUUUUCUUUCGGUUUCUUCUACACCCUGCCCUAACCUAUUCUGCCCCCCCCUGCACGCUCCACCCCUCUCUGCAUGCGCACACGUGCAUAUACAUGUCUGCCUUUAUCGCGCGGGUGUGUGCGUGCUUCUCUGUCAAGGCGACGCAGACAGAAAGGCGAGGCGUGCUCUCUCGCUUUUCUUCCCGCGCUUACCUCCGUGUCCCCUACCUGGUCACCUGAUACUAUUUUCCGUCUGUGCCCCCUCCCUCCCUCCCUCCCUCCCUGUUCUCUCCUUUUGCUUUCGCGUAUUCGGGCUUCUUAUUGUGUCGAUGACGCUGACAAGGUAUGGGCGCUUACCGUAGCGAGUUGCCCUGCCCCAUCCCCUGCCCUUUCACCAGGUUGCACACCAGCAAGCGAAAGUAAACAAAAAGAGAUCUCGGCUGAUUCACCGGACGUGUGCGCAGCCGGUGGAUUGCUUAUGCGACUUGUCACCGACGUGUCACGUUGUGCGCAGCCGAAAACGUGUUAAUCUACCAAAAGAAGAAACGAAGUACCGGCGGUCUUACCUUUACUGACGCCGGUGUGCUUCCUAGGUCGCUCUGUUUCUCGCUCUCCCUCUCUUGAUGAGAGCAACAGGUUGCGUGCGAGAGUGGCGAAGAGAGGAGGAGGGGAGGAAUAAAAUUUUCAGCGUGCGACGCGGGAAGGAUAUGCGCAGAAGACGACUUGAAUAGUGACUGGGCACCCCGUUGGAGAGCAAAAACAAAGAGAAAGAUGAUGCACGAGAGGAAGCGGGCGGUUAUCGCCUGAAUCGGUGUCCCUUCACCCUCUCCUACCCCCACCCCUAUCCCUUUGCUUGAUGCUUUUCUUCUUUUACGCUGUUCAUUUUCUUGGCGGCCUUUUUAGUGACGCGUGGCAGGUGUGGAGCUGUCAUCUCCGUCUUCCUUCAUUCUCUAUGCUCCUUAUUUCUUUCGUAUACGCUUGGAAAACGUAUACCGUCUUAGCUCCCCUCUCUUAUCUCCGUUAGUCAGUGUGUAUCUCACCCUCGACUUCGUUUUGUGUUUGUCUGUCCCUUUCUCUCCCUCCUUUCCAGUACUGGUGCCUUCUUGUAUGUGUUUGUGUGUCUGUGUGUUUUGCUCGAUGCAUGCAGGAGGGUGCUGAAUGUGUCGCAUGUGCCUUUUCAUGUGUGUAUAUAGGUUUUUGAAGUACUGGAACUAUUUCAUUCCUAUAUGCAUGCUGAGGCACCAACAAUACAGAUGUACCCCUCUUCUCCUCCCACGUGUAGCUUGAGUGAUUUUUUCCCUUUUCCUCUAUCCCUCUCCUUCAGGUAGAAGGAGCUACGUAAUUCGUCGUUCUUUCUCUUUUCAGUGCAUUUAUGUAUGUGUAUGUGUGUGUUUAGGCGCUCUCUUGAUGGCACCUCUUUUCGUUCCUUGCACCCCUGUCCGAUCUUCGGGCCUUGCAUGAUUUCUUCUUCUCGCUUUCUCUUCUCUUGGUCAGCAUUUCUCCCUUUUUUGUGGUUUGCCCGUUUUGUUGUAUAUUUUUAUGCCCCGUUGCUGGUGAUAGCUCGUUUUCCUGCUCACGCCCUUUCAAUCGCAUUUUAUAUUUCGCUCGCUUGAGUGCAUGCCCGCCGAAGUCUCUUUCGGACUCGUCUCUCUUUUUUUUCGUUUCUCUCUCUCUCGCUCGCUGUUGUCCCUCCUCCCCCUCCCCGGCGUGCGAUGGAUGCUGUGAUGUGGUCAGGUGUGCAUUCCUUCGUUUGCCGACAAGGAAUCGGAUCGGAAGUCUCCCUCCGCGCCCCUUUCACACACACACACGGAGAAGACAUGUCGGUGCAACUGGGACGCGAGUGGACAGGAGGCGCACAACGCAGAAGUCCGACGGAAAGGCGUCGUGGGAUGAAGGGAGGGGCGGCGAAUGCAGUCGCUUUGACACUCUUGCUCGUUGGCCGUCCUCCCCCUCCUCCCCCUGCACCUGUCCGCCUUCGCCGGCGCUGAUUCACGCCACACGCGCCCGACAAACACACGCGGUGAAGCACCGCAGAGGCGCCUCAUUCAGAAACAAAAAAAAAAACGAAAAACUGGCAACGGCGUUUAGUUAAUUAUUACUUGAUGCCGUCUUCGUCUUCUUUUUCUCUCUGUAUGGCUCUCUCACUUGCUUCUCGCCGUCCCUCUCUUUCUCUUGUCGAAGCGUCCCUCUAUCUGAUCUAUUCGUUUUUUUUUUCAUUCUUCCCUCUGAGUUUUGUUUUUGCUUUCCUUCGCAAUGAUGCUGUACCGCCAAACUCACUCGUACACGCUGCGCAAGACGCGUCGCUACUCUCGCUCGCCCUCCAUCACCCUCCCUCCCUCAUCUCCAGCCACGAAGAGCACCGCAGCCGACAAACAACAAAGGUACAGCAGCGAACGAAAACGCCGCUGCCCAAGUGUGUACGAUCUUCCGCAAGAGCGUGGAAGCAACGUGGUGCCCAAGAGGGAGCCCAUUUUGAUAUGGUGAAGGGGACGCAAAUGUGAUAGAGGGGAAGAGGCUGGGCGGAAAGAGAAUGAAGUGGGGCAGUGCGGGACGCAGAAAUCUGGAUCCAUCUGCAAGAAUCGGCUGCGUACUUUGCAUUCAUCCGUGUCUGUACCUAUGUGUGUGCGCGUGUAUGUUUGUAUUUGUGCGUCUUCUCCAGCCACUUCUUCUCCCUUUUCUGUUCGGUGUGAUGUUUUCGUAACCGUUUUAUUCGUGGUGAUGUUGUUUUGCGGAUCGGUCCCUCCCCCUCUUCCUUUUUUUUCUGUUCUUCCACUUGCACCAAAGAACACGUGGAAGGCGUCGAGAAGAUAUGUAUAUAUAUAUAUAUAGGUGGUAUACAUGCAGAAUGAUGGGAAUCAUCAACGGCCGAUUCUCUCUCUGUGAUGUGGCUAGAGUCAAAACUACAUACCCCCUCCCCUCAUCCUCUCUUUUUCUUUGUUUCGCAUAGACUGAAGUGUGCAUACACAGAGACACACACACCGGCGCAAGGAAGCAUCACGUACGAAAGAAACAGAAAGAAGAGCGGCAGAAAGGCGCGCAUCAUCACCCCCAUUUGCCGAGAACGUCCUCUCUGCCCCACCCCACCCCCUCUUCUCCUCUUUUCUCCCGUUUCGUUGGUCUUCGCUGUCCUCUCCCCUUCCCCUUAUUUCCUCCUCUGUCACACCCUGCACUCUGCGUGGUCAUCUACUUCUCCUGUCAGGUUUUGCUUGUUUGUUUUGAUAAGCGAUCAGCCUCGAAGCGAAAGUGAGGUGCAGAUUUUGUUGUGCCCCCGUCCCCCUUGCUGUGCUUCCGUUGCGGUUGCCGUUUUUUUUUCUUUUGCGGUGUCUCCGGUCUCUGCGCACUCCUAUCCAACCUUUACCCGAUCUACCAAGGUAGUCUCCCCCUUUCCACACACGCACACGUGUCACACAUUCCAUCUUCGCGUUCCUCUCGCGCUUACCAUUAUGGCCAAGCGCUUCGUCUUUUGUUUUCCGCUUGCUGUACUGUUUUCCAUCCUCUUUUUUUUUCUUUCGUCUCCCUCCCCUCUCCUUUCUACUUUGGGUGCGAAGUGCGCGUGUAUAUAUGUGUCUUGUGAGCAUCCUAUGCGCACAUGCAUACCUGCAGACGCACACGUGGGCUGUCUUGUGCGACCCCCGCCCUCAUUUCUUCCCUCUAUGGCGCCCUUACCCGUUCCCCAGGCUCAUUGACACGCUCUCUGCCCCUCUCCCUUCUUUUGCCAUGAGGCACGUUCUCUUCAGGUGGAGUUUUCGUUUUCUCGUGUGCUGGAACCCACAACGUGUGCUGUAUGCACGCGCUCACAAGCAGGCGCGCUUGGCAUACGUACCCACCGGCGCAUAAAAUUUAAAAUGCCCCCGUGCCUUUGUGUCUAACUUUCCCCGUCCUCCUUUUCGUUUGUUUCGUCGCUUUUCUUCGUAGUGGGUCAUACAGACGUCCAGUGCACACCGUCAAAACAAGGAGAAACGAGCGAAGCAGGCAAGUUUGAAAACCCAAAGAAGCAUCCACCACCGCCCGCCUCCCCUGCUCCGCAAGUUGGUCUGCACGGGAAGUGCGAGACAAGCUGGUACCCAAGCCAGACCCUUUUCAGUUAUGUUCUCUCUUUUUGUUAAUGUAAGUGAGCCAUCAUCGCACCUCCACUUUGGCAGUUUUUGCCUUCUUCCAGAGCUCUCCUCUUCUCGUCACCCACCUUCUUAUCACUAGCAUGUGUCUGCUGACGAAGGCUUCUUUCCUAAGGUCAUGCAUGUGGGUUUGCUCUCGUCCCCGUUGAGCUAAAGGGACAAGCGUUCCCCCUACCUCGCCCUCUCCCUCGGUUUUGUACCCCUUCAUUUCAGCUUCCGCCACACCACAUAAAAAAAAUAAAAAGGAAUCAUGCUACUAAAGCACGGAGGAAACAAGACAACAAUCAAGGCCCCCCUCCCCCACCGAUACUAGCGUGUGUACAAACGGAGCCAGUGCGUGUGCGUGUGCGUUGGCAGGCACGGGCGCUUUCCUACACGCGCGUCUCGUAGCGCUUCUCUCGCCGCAUCUUCUCCGUUUUUCGUUGUGUUUUCCUCCUUCCUUUUUGUUUUCCUUCCGCUCUCCAAGUUGACUUGAACCUUGUUGAACUAUCCUGUCUCUAUUUGUGUUAGCGCUCCUUUUCGUACGACUCAUUGCGUAUACACGCGCACACCCAUCAAGGGCUUGUGUCCUCUUCAGCUGUUUUUUUUUUUUGGGGGGGGGGGGGUUCCCCCACACCACCUCCCACCCAUUAGUAUGCCGCUCACGCCUUCUCUACUUUCCGUGUUCUCUCUCUCGAUUCCUGUAUUUGACUUGGUUCGAUUUCUGUGCUUCUCAGUUUUUGCUUUGUGCUUCUUUCUUCUGGGCCUCUUCUCACCUGAUUCAUGCCCCUCCCCUCCCCCGUCCGUUUCACUUCAGGUAGCCGCAUGUGUCUGCCUUUGUGUGCUGUUCAAGUGCGUUGGAUUCUGUCAAUCCCUCUUUGCGUCUUCUCUUCCUUCGCCUCGCCCUCCCCCUUUUCUUGUUCUGGGGUUGUACCUCUGUGCGUGUGUAUGUGCAUGUACGCGUUCUCCCCCCUCCCUCCCUUUGUGUGAGCGUUCGCGUGUGUUCAGCCGGGAAUGAGUGCAACUACGUGUUUCUUUUUCUUUCGCGAUACCUUCUUUCAAAAUAUAUAUAUACGCCUGAUUGUAACGUCUUUCCUGUUCCAGUGCUUUUUUAUAUCUCGUCCAUCCUCGUCCUCCCCCGCCCUGCCCGAUCUCCCCCUCUCCCCCUCUGUGCUCCUUUAUGUGUGGCUGCUGAUGCCGCCCUGGAGCCUUCCUCUGUUUUCUUUUCUAAAUUCGAUUGCUGUGCUUGCUUUCGGUAUUCAUAUUUGCGCAAAGAUACGCACACGGGGACAUUACUUCGGUGUUCGCAUCCUCCCCUCCUCCUUUUUUUUUUCGGGGAGGGGGCGUCGCACCCAUGGAAGAAGCGCACAGCCAAAGAGAUGCUCCGUUUAACGGCGACCCUCGUCAUGCUUUUCAAUGCGCGCACCGACGGAAGCGCGUGCAGAAACAUGGGCACACGUCAAAAGAAGAUGCGCUGGCCGACUACUAUUCAUACACGUAACUUUUUCGUCCUAUUUUGUCGUAAGGCAGAGUGGACAAGGUGGAGCAGCGUAUGGCUUCUUUUCUCCCCUCCCCCUCCUCUCUAACCUGCUAGCCACCUCCUCUUGCUGGGCCCUAGCCUUCCCAUCUCCGGCAUUGCACCACUUCUUUGUGUCGGCACCGGCCUACGCCCUGUCCUUCCUACCCCCUCCCUCCCCCCGCGCGCGCGCAGCCGUUCAGCCGCUUGAAUUCACCCGUUUCUCUCUCCCUCUCUUUCUGUGGUUUUCGUUCUCGUUGAAGACUGAACGAACUCUUCUUUUUGGUGCUAUUUCCCUCUCUUCUUGUGUUGUGUGUGCGCGUCCUUUCUCUCUCUUCCCCUCCCUCUCUGCAGAGCCGAAGCUGGCAUUUUUAUUUUGUUGCUCGGAAAAGGGUAAGUGGGUUACCUGCUUUUUCUUUGAAAACCUCAUCCUCUCGCUUUCCUUUUCUUGGCUCGCGUGCGAUGCCUUCUGAACUCGCGUAUGCGUGUAUUCCUCUAUGUGCACGUGGAAAGCAGGUGAACGGAGUGCUCGUGCGGCUGCACCACCCCUACCAGGAGCCAAGAGAGGUUGGUCGUCAGGCAAUCACGAGCAGCAGCGCAUCGCUUUGCAAAGAAAAACAGAAAAACGCUCUCGGCUGCCCGUGUGCCUCGCUGUCUUGAUCUCUCCAGCUUAUUCUUGUUCUCUUAGCCACGCCCCUUUCCGCAUACUAAACACGUGCACACGUGCGCGUGUGUGUGUGUGUACGUGCGUGAAAGCCGUGUGCUGCAUGCUUUUUUUUUUCGCGUCGUCGUCUUGAUCGCAACGCAGUGAACCACACAUGUUUCUGUUCGCUUUUUUUCUUUGUUGCUGAAGGGUUGCCGCCAUGGUAUCCGGUGCGGCAGGUGUGCAUAUGCGGUGCUUUUCUCCCCUGCUUGUGUGUGUGUGUCGUUUUUUUUUACUUCCUCCCCUCUCUCUCUGUUGUUCUUAUUCUCUUUUCUAAUUCAAGCCGGGAUCGCUCUCACCAGAGCCUCCGCUGUUUGUGAAUAAACGGGUUUGAGUGCGUGUGUGCAUCGCCUCGAUGUGCGAGGUGGUGCUCAACUGAGUUUGAGUAAGUGAACACGUGUGUCUGUAUAUAUAUAUAUAUAUUCAUCUACCGGGGAUCCCUUCUCUUUGCGUUUGCUCUCUCCUUUUCUACCCCCGCCCGCCCCCCCCCUUCCUGCAGCCAUUCCUCCGUGUUACUCGUGUUGAAGACGCUCUGUGUUGGUAGCAUGGGGAUGCUGAAGUGGUAUAAGCAUCAGCUGAUGUUCUCACUCCCUCUGGCUUCUGUCAAAUGUGUACUUGCGUUCACGGUGAGUCGAACGGGGCGAGUACAGCUGGUGGGCCUGGAAGAACCCACACCGACAUGCCGAGGAGGUGUGCAUCAUCGCCCCUCUUAAAAAAAAAAACGAUAUGAAGUCAACACGGCGAAAGGAAAGAAUAGAGAUCUUUUUUUGUUUUAGCAGGUACAGAGAAAAGUAUAUGUGGGUGCAUGCGUGGAUCUCAGCGAUGUGUGUCGGUGUAUGCGCGGGGAAAGGGGGUGGUACGAGUGAGAAGGUGUGGUGGGCGACGUCCAAGAAAACCGACGACGCCGCUGCCUCUGCACUCCAUAUUUUCUUUUGAUGCCCCCCACCCCCACCCCACCCUGCCUUUGUUGAUCCGCUCUGCGCCAUCCCAGCCGGCAUCAGCAGCUCUCAUCCCACUGUAUACCCCCUGCAUAUAUAUUUCUGUGUCCCUUCCAGUUCCACCGCCGAUACGCGGUAAGAUGGUCAUUGUCAAUCUCUUGUGCUUUCGUGUAUCUGCUCUCUGGGCCACCGGUGAGGGGGAGGAGGGGGAGUGUUAAGUCACCUAAAC
rnacentral:misc_RNA from 1 species